UACAGAGGUCUCAACCGUUGUUCGGAUUCAUUGGGCGUAAAGGUGCGUAGGCGGUCGCGCAAGUCGGAUGUGAAAUCUUAGGGCUCAACCCUGAAACUGCAUUCGAUACUGCGUGGCUCGAGUACUGGAGAGGAGACUGGAAUUUACGGUGUAGCAGUGAAAUGCGUAGAUAUCGUAAGGAAGACCAGUGGCGAAAGGCGAGUCUCUGGACAGUUACUGACGCUGAGGCACGAAGGCCAGGGGAGCAAACGGG
rnacentral:rRNA from 1 species